rnacentral:tRNA from 1 species
UCGGAGGUCGUCUAACGGUAGGACAGCUGGUUUUGGUCCAGUCAAUCGGGGUUCGAUUCCCUGCCUCCGAGCUA